rnacentral:rRNA from 1 species
UACAGAGGGGGCAAGCGUUGUUCGGAUUUACUGGGCGUAAAGGGCGCGUAGGCGGCAAUUCAAGUCAUCUGUGAAAUCUCCGGGCUUAACUCGGAACGGUCAGGUGAAACUGCUUUGCUAGAGUGCGGAAGGGGCAAUCGGAAUUCUCGGUGUAGCGGUGAAAUGCGUAGAUAUCAGGAGGAACACCGGUGGCGAAGGCGGAUCUCUGGGCCAUUACUGACGCUGAGGAGCGAAAGCGUGGGGAGCGAACAGG